rnacentral:lncRNA from 1 species
UUCGACGGAAGUCCGAAGGUUCGUCGGGAAUGUUGCCGGAACUAGCCAAGAAUAAGUAGGGAGCUUGCCGAAGGGUUUUUCGGAAGCUCACCGGAAGAUUCGUUGGAAGUUCGCGGAGCUCGCCGAGAAAGAUCGGACCUGGCCGAAGAAGCUCGUUGGAACUCGCCAAGAUCAAAUCGUGAAGUCUAGGAGCUUGCCGGGAGUCCGCAGAAUGGUUUCCGAGAGUUUAUCGAAAG